GUUGGUUUUACAUUAACCUCUGCCCAAACCUUGUCCUUUCUGGGGCACUGAGUGCAACUGUGUGCUCUUGUUCCCACGACCUAGGGAUCCAGGUACAGUUGCUUUCCUGCUUUCUGCUUGCAGAGUUAGAUGCCAGCCAUCUGUCCAACUGCUGGGCAGGGAAGAUAAACACUGCAGCCCUGGGAGCCCUGCAGAGAGCAGAGGAAAGAAUUCUUGAGGACCCCCACCCCACACGUUUCGAAAGGAGACAUAAUCAGCAAACGGCUCGAAAAGCAGCUAACUUAAGAGUAAAUAACGAUCAAGAGGUACCAUGGAAGAGACAAUGUCCUGUUGGCCAGCACAAUUAAAAUCAAUAUCACUGGUAAGAAAAUGAUAUAUCCACUGUGAAUGACUUUGGAAUGGUUUCUGUCAGGGCCCUUGCUUGUGAUUAAAGCUAAGGACGAAAAAUUCACACAGCUGUUUGGAGGUCGGUUUAUAUUGG
rnacentral:lncRNA from 1 species